ensembl:misc_RNA Metazoa_SRP Metazoan signal recognition particle RNA
GCCGGGUGCGGUGGCUCACGCCUGUAAUCCUAGUACUUUGGGAGGCUGAGGCGGGUGAAUCACCUGAGGUCAGGAGUUUGAGACCAGCCUGACCAACAUGGUGAAACCCCGUUUCUA